rnacentral:rRNA from 1 species
GUGUCAGCAGCCGCGGUAAUACGUAUGGGGCGAGCGUUGUUCGGAAUCAUUGGGCGUAAAGGGCGCGUAGGCGGUUCGGGAAGCCCGGUGUGAAAGGCUACGGCUUAACCGUAGUUUUGCGCUGGGAACUGCCGAACUGGAGUUUAGGAGGGGAAGCCGGAAUUCCUGGUGUAGGGGUGAAAUCUGUAGAUAUCAGGAAGAACACCGGAGGCGAAGGCGGGCUUCUAUCCAUAGACUGACGCUGAGGCGCGAAAGCGUGGGGAGCAAACAGGAUUAGAUACCCUGGUAGUCCACGCUGUAAACGAUGUGCACUAGGCGUAGGGGGCGCUGAAGCUCUCUGUGCCGAAGCUAACGCAUUAAGUGCACCGCCUGGGGAGUAUGCUCGCAAGGGUGAA